rnacentral:rRNA from 1 species
CUGUCAUGAGUAUAGUUGAGGUAGCUGGAAUGAGUAGUGUAGCGGUGAAAUGCAUAGAUAUUACUCAGAACACCGAUUGCGAAGGCAGGUUACCAAGUUAUAACUGACGCUGAGGGACGAAAGCGUGGGGAGCGAACAGGAUUAGAUACCCUGGUAGUCCACGCCGUAAACGAUGCUAACUCGUUUUUGGGCUUUAGGGUUCAGAGACUAAGCGAAAGUGAUAAGUUAGCCACCUGGGGAGUACGACCGCAAGGUUGAAACUCAAAGGAAUUGACGGGGGCCCGCACAAGCGGUGGAUCAUGUGGUUUAAUUCGAUGAUACGCGAGGAACCUUACCAAGGCUUAAAUGGGGAUUGACAGCUGUAGAAAUACGGUUUUCUUCGGACAAUUUUCAAGGUGCUGCAUGGUUGUCGUCAGCUCGUGCCGUGAGGUGUUAGGUUAAGUCCUGCAACGAGCGCAACCCCUGUCACUAGUUGCCAUCAUUAAGUUGGGGACUCUAGUGAGACUGCCUACGCAAGUAGAGAGGAAGGUGGGGAUGACGUCAAAUCAUCACGGCCCUUACGCCUUGGGCCACACACGUGAUACAAUGGCCGGUACAGAGGGCAGCUACACUGCGAAGUGAUGCAAAUCUCGA